rnacentral:ncRNA from 2 species
ACUUAAUAAUAGGGGAGCUUACGCAUGUAUGCUGAGAGGAAGUUAAAUGCAACUUUGACCCUUAACCUGAUUUGGAUAAUGCCAACGUAGGGAAUACACAUUAAAUGUUU